AGUAGCGGUGGAAUGCGUAGAUACUGUGAGGUACCCCGAUGGCGAAGGCAACCCUCUGGUCUGUUACCGACGCUGAAGCGCGAAAGCGUGGGGAGCGAAGGGGAUUAGAUACCCCCGUAGUCCACGCCGCAAACGAUGUUCACUGGGUGUCGGUCAUUAAUUAGAUCGGUGCCGGAGUUAACGCAUUAAGUGAACCGCCUGGGGACUACGGCCGCAAGGCUAAAACUCAAGAGAAUUGACGGGGCCCUGCACAAGCGGUGGAGCACGUGGUUUAAUUCGAUGAUAAGCGAAGAACCUUACCUGGGCUUGACAUGCUAGCAGUAGGAGCCAGAGAUGGUAACGACCCCUACCUUUGGUAGGGGAACUAGUACAGGUGAUGCAUGGCUGUCGUCAGCUCGUGUCGUGGGACGUUGGGUUAAGUCCCGAAACGAGCGCAACCCCUGUUGUUAGUUGCCAGCGGGUAAUGCCGGGGACUCUAACAAGACUGCUGGUGAAUAGCCGGAGGAAGGAGGGGAUGACGUCAAGUCAUCAUGUCCCUUAUGUCCAGGGCGACACACAUGCUACAAUGGGAGGUACAAUGGGCUGCUAAACCGCAAGGUCAUGCGAAUCCCAAAAAGCCUUCCUCAGUUCGGAUUGAGGUCUGCAACCCGACCUCAUGAAGCCGGAAUCGCUAGUAAUCGCAGGUC
rnacentral:rRNA from 1 species